rnacentral:rRNA from 1 species
GCAAACUGCGCGUCGCCGUGUGAACUGCAGGACACAUGAUCAUCGACAAGUUGAACGCAUAUUGCACCUUAUACAUUUUGGUUUAUUCAUUAAAAUGUAAUCACAUUGUGAACGAACCUGUAUAAGGUACAUAUGGUUGAGUGUCGUGAGUUUUUAUGCAAUAAAAAUGAGUACGUCGUUUACACGUACGCAUAUAUUAAUGUGCCGUUAAAGACUUUAGUUGUGCUUUACGCACAACAGCAAAAGAUUUACGGUGAAGAUGCUAUUUUUGUGGUUUCCGCCUCAGUUUUUUGUCUCUACAUUUGAUAAAAAUGGUGUAUAUGAGUAAUAACAACACAUAUAUUUCAAGAGUAGAAAAAUAAUGGGCGAGCUAACUCUACAUGUGCUCCUCGUACUCGUAGAUAAUACAGUUUAGUCUCGUCUAUAUGAUUAUUUUUCUUUAAUCAUCUCCUGAAAUGUUGUUGUUCAUAUGGUAUACACGAGAGAGUGCGUGAGUAAAAUUAACCAAAUCCCCUCAAUAUAGAUAGAAGGAAUAUUAUUUCCGCGCGACCUCAACUCAUGUGUGG